UACGAAGGGGGCUAGCGUUGCUCGGAAUUACUGGGCGUAAAGGGCGCGUAGGCGGACAGUUUAGUCAGAGGUAAAAGCCCAGGGCUCAACCUUGGAACUGCCUUUGAUACUGGCUGUCUUGAGUUCGGGAGAGGUGAGUGGAAUGCCGAGUGUAGAGGUGAAAUUCGUAGAUAUUCGGCGGAACACCAGUGGCGAAGGCGACUCACUGGCCCGAUACUGACGCUGAGGCGCGAAAGCGUGGGGAGCAAACAGGG
rnacentral:rRNA from 1 species